rnacentral:rRNA from 1 species
UACGUAGGGGGCUAGCGUUGUCCAGAAUCAUUGGGCGUAAAGAGCGUGUAGGCGGUCCGGUAAGUCCGCUGUGAAAGUCGGGGGCUCAACCCUCGAAUGCCGGUGGAUACUGUCGGGCUAGAGUGCGGAAGAGGCGAGUGGAAUUCCUGGUGUAGCGGUGAAAUGCGCAGAUAUCAGGAGGAACACCUAUUGCGAAGGCAGCUCGCUGGGACGUAACUGACGCUGAGACGCGAAAGCGUGGGGAGCGAACAGG